rnacentral:lncRNA from 1 species
GCUCCAAGUGACAGCAUGGUGGUAUCCAAGGGUCAUGAGAUCUGGACUCCUGUCCUGGGUCUCCCACUGCUCUAUAUUUUUCUGAGAAAGCCCCUGUCCCUCAUUGGCCCUCAAUUUCCACAUCUGCGCCACAAAAACAUCUUCCAACCUAAUAUCAAGUACCUUAUCAAAACCUAAAAAGCUUCUGGCCCCUUGCCCAUCUGGACCUGCACCCAGUGACUCCUUGGAUACAGAGUGGUCUCUCCUGGGGACUCCAUGGGCCCUCCCAUGCCAGGAAAGGUUCUCCAUCCCCAUCCCCUUCCCAGAAUGAGCUACUAUACCUACAGUGUACCUCACCAGGUACAUCGCAUCCACUAUAACUUUUUAGGUCUGCCCUCUCCUCACUUGCAUUUAAGAGUUUCUAUUUCAGCUUCUGCCCUUUCCUGCCCAGGAGGAAGGAUCUUCCAUCUUGGAUCUCCUAUCCUGGCCCUUUGAGGAGACAGCAUGGCAGUAAGAGAAGUUGAAGUGAGACUCCCUUUGGUGUGAAGAAGACAAGGUUCAAGGGAAUAUGGCGGGGGAAGACAGGGUUGACAAAGAUGUACAUUAAAAUUCAGUGUUACCUUAGACAAAGCACUUGUUCUCUGAGCCUAUUUCCUCUUCUCUAAAACAGAAAUAACAUCUGCUCCAUAGAAGGGAUGGGGAAUGAUAGCCCCUGUAAACAGCAGAAGGC